AGAAACAAGAGGAGGCAGGGAGUGAAACUGCCCGAGGAGGAGAGGAGAGGAGAGGAGAGCAGGGGAGAGGAGAGGAGAGGAGAGCAGGGGAGAGGAGAGGAGAGGAGAGCAGGGGAGAGGAGAGGAGAGGAGAGGAGAGGAGUGGAGCUGUAGCUAGGUCACAUAUGGACAGGAACCAAGUGGAGAAAUGGGUGGACAGGGCACAAAUGGGGGAAUGACAGCCUAUUCAGUGAGGAUAGGAAAUGCACAUAAAGGACAGAUGAAGAUGAUUUCUCUGUGUGUGACUAGAAGGACAGCGAUUACAAAGAUAAGAGUGAAAGAACAGGGAGGAAAGGGGAAAAGGGAAUAAGUAAGAAGAUGAAAUAAGCAAGGAAUGUCCAAGUACUGAUAUGAAAGCUCAGAAAAUCACCAGGCUAUUAGGCUGAGCCAGAAGAAGAGCCACAGCCGUACCCAAGAGGGGACCAUUGGAAAGACAGAAGCAGGCAAUUUAAGUAGCUAGCUACUGGGGUAAAAUGAAAAAAAUAGAAGAUGGAAAAGGUGAGAAGCAAAAGAGGGAAAACCCAAAGGAGACACUGGCCCAGAAACCUUUUUAACUUUCUGUAAGAAUCUUCAAGUCCCCAAACUAGGCCAAGAUUCUGACUGACAUUUCUGAGCUCACCAGCUGCCGUUUCCUUGAGAGAAUUCUGACAGGAAGGCAUAGAAAUGUGAGCCAACACUGCCAGCUCUGGAAAAUAAAUAAAUAAGUAAAUAACUGCCCACAUCCUAAACACCUCAGUGGGGGCCGAAGCCUGCUGGGAAGGAAGCCCAGAGAGGAGGAGGGACCCGCCUGCAACUUUUCCCCAGGAAGCUCAGAAUAUAAGCGUCAAUUUUUUGCCCUCAAGCUGUGGAGUGUCAGAAACAUUGACCUACAGCAGUGGUUCUCAGAAUGUGGGCCCCAGACCAGCAGCAUCAGCAUUACCUGGGAACAUGCUAGAAACGAACAUUCUCAGUUCCUACCCCCAGUUCCUGAAUCAGAAACUCUGGGGAUGACACUCAGCAGCCUGUGUUUCAGCAAGUUGUCCACGUGAUUCUGAUGCACUAAAUUAAUUAGAAGGUUAAGAGUUUUUAAGGCGCUCUUCCUGGAAUCCACAGUAUUAAGAUCUCCUUACAUGCUAAUCAUCUACAGAGCUAGAGCUUGUAAAAGAGACCUUUCAACAAUAACAACAAAAACACACAACCUCCUGGUUCCUCCAUCCCUCCAUCUGUAAA